rnacentral:rRNA from 1 species
AUUGAACGCUGGCGGCAGGCCUAACACAUGCAAGUCGAGCGGCAGCGGGAAAGUAGCUUGCUACUUUUGCCGGCGAGCGGCGGACGGGUGAGUAAUGCCUGGGGAUCUGCCCAGUCGAGGGGGAUAACAGUUGGAAACGACUGCUAAUACCGCAUACGCCCUACGGGGGAAAGCAGGGGACCUUCGGGCCUUGCGCGAUUGGAUAAACCCAGGUGGGAUUAGCUAGUUGGUGAGGUAGUGGCUCACCAAGGCGACGAUCCCUAGCUGGUCUGAGAGGAUGAUCAGCCACACUGGAACUGAGACACGGUCCAGACUCCUACGGGAGGCAGCAGUGGGGAAUAUUGCACAAUGGGGGAAACCCUGAUGCAGCCAUGCCGCGUGUGUGAAGAAGGCCUUCGGGUUGUAAAGCACUUUCAGCGAGGAGGAAAGGUUGGUAGCUAAUAACUGCCAGCUGUGACGUUACUCGCAGAAGAAGCACCGGCUAACUCCGUGCCAGCAGCCGCCGUAAUAC